ACGAGCGCUGGCGGCGUGCUUAACACCUGCAAGUCGAACGGAAAGGCCCUGCUUUUGUGGGGUGCUCGAGUGGCGAACGGGUGAGUAACACGUGAGUAACCUGCCCUUGACUUUGGGAUAACUUCAGGAAACUGGGGCUAAUACCGGAUAGGAGCUCCUGCUGCAUGGUGGGGGUUGGAAAGUUUCGGCGGUUGGGGAUGGACUCGCGGCUUAUCAGCUUGUUGGUGGGGUAGUGGCUUACCAAGGCUUUGACGGGUAGCCGGCCUGAGAGGGUGACCGGCCACAUUGGGACUGAGAUACGGCCCAGACUCCUACGGGAGGCAGCAGUGGGGAAUAUUGCACAAUGGGCGGAAGCCUGAUGCAGCAACGCCGCGUGCGGGAUGACGGCCUUCGGGUUGUAAACCGCUUUCGCCUGUGACGAAGCGUGAGUGACGGUAAUGGGUAAAGAAGCACCGGCUAACUACGUG
rnacentral:rRNA from 1 species